rnacentral:lncRNA from 1 species
CGGAUUCCAGAUAAAACAAAUGGCCAGUUUUAGCCUAAUCAUCACUUCUGCCUGAGGAAAGAGAAACUCUUUGAGGUUUAUCUCUAAUUCUGUGGAAUUGAUUGAAAUUAUUCCAUUGACUUCAGCAAACUCUCUUUCCUGCUGGAUCAAAGGCAAUAUUUGUGCAUCAGAUUUGCUGGUGAUGUCUCACUAAUGAAGCAGGUAAUUUUAUAAACAAGUCAGGGAGGGUAAGUGCCCAAUAAAAAGAUGUCAGACAGAGAUGCA